GAGUUUGAUCAUGGCUCAGGACGAACGCUGGCGGCGUGCUUAACACAUGCAAGUCGAACGAUGAAGCCCUUCGGGUGGAUUAGUGGCGAACGGGUGAGUAACACGUGGGCAAUCUGCCCUGCACUCUGGGACAAGCCCUGGAAACGGGGUCUAAUACCGGAUACUGAUCGCCUUGGGCAUCCUUGGUGAUCGAAAGCUCCGGCGGUGCAGGAUGAGCCCGCGGCCUAUCAGCUUGUUGGUGAGGUAAUGGCUCACCAAGGCGACGACGGGUAGCCGGCCUGAGAGGGCGACCGGCCACACUGGGACUGAGACACGGCCCAGACUCCUACGGGAGGCAGCAGUGGGGAAUAUUGCACAAUGGGCG
rnacentral:rRNA from 1 species